UACGUAGGGGGCCAGCGUUGUCCGGAUUCAUUGGGCGUAAAGCGCGUGUAGGCGGCCAGGUAGGUCCGAUGUGAAAUCUGGAGGCUCAACCUCCAGAGGUCAUUGGAAACCAUCUGGCUAGAGUCCGGAAGAGGAGAGUGGAAUUCCUGGUGUAGCGGUGAAAUGCGCAGAUAUCAGGAAGAACACCAAUGGCGAAGGCAGCUCUCUGGGACGGUACUGACGCUGAGACGCGAAAGCGUGGGGAGCAAACAGG
rnacentral:rRNA from 1 species